rnacentral:rRNA from 1 species
CCUACGGGAGGCAGCAGUGAGGAAUAUUGGUCAAUGGGCGAGAGCCUGAACCAGCCAAGUCGCGUGAGGGAGUACUGCCCUAUGGGUUGUAAACCUCUUUUGUCGGGGAGCAAAAGCCGGACGUGUCCGGCUGUGAGAGUACCCGAAGAAAAAGCAUCGGCUAACCCCGUGCCAGCAGCCGCGGUAAUACGGAGGAUGCGAGCGUUAUCCGGAUUUAUUGGGUUUAAAGGGUGCGCAGGCGGAUUUUUAAGUCAGCGGUAAAAUCGUGGGGCUCAACCCCAUCCAGCCGUUGAAACUGGGGAUCUAGAGUGUGCGAGAGGUAUGCGGAAUGCGUGGUGUAGCGGUGAAAUGCAUAGAUAUCACGCAGAACCCCGAUUGCGAAGGCAGCAUACCGGUGCACAACUGACGCUCAGGCACGAAAGCGUGGGUAUCGAACAGGAUUAGAUACCCCUGUAGUC